GCCUAAUACAUGCAAGUCGAACGCACUCUCGUUUAGAUUGAAGGAGCUUGCUCCUGAUUGAUAACAUUUGAGUGAGUGGCGGACGGGUGAGUAACACGUGGGUAACCUGCCCUAAAGUGGGGGAUAACAUUUGGAAACAGAUGCUAAUACCGCAUAAAACCUAACACCGCAUGGUGUAGGGUUGAAAGAUGGUUUCGGCUAUCACUUUAGGAUGGACCCGCGGUGCAUUAGUUAGUUGGUGAGGUAAAGGCUCACCAAGACCGUGAUGCAUAGCCGACCUGAGAGGGUAAUCGGCCACACUGGGACUGAGACACGGCCCAGACUCCUACGGGAGGCAGCAGUAGGGAAUCUUCCACAAUGGACGAAAGUCUGAUGGAGCAACGCCGCGUGAGUGAAGAAGGUUUUCGGAUCGUAAAACUCUGUUGUUGGAGAAGAAUGUAUCUGAUAGUAACUGAUCAGGUAGUGACGGUAUCCAACCAGAAAGCCACGGCUAACUACGUG
rnacentral:rRNA from 1 species